UACGUAGGGGGCAAGCGUUGUCCGGAUUUAUUGGGCGUAAAGAGCGUGUAGGCGGCCAUGUAGGUCCGUUGUGAAAACUCGAGGCUCAACCUCGAGACGCCGAUGGAAACCAUGUGGCUAGAGUCCGGAAGAGGAGAGUGGAAUUCCUGGUGUAGCGGUGAAAUGCGCAGAUAUCAGGAAGAACACCCGUGGCUAAGGCGGCUCUCUAGUACGGUACUGACGCUGAGGCGCGAAAGCGUGGGGAGCAAACAGG
rnacentral:rRNA from 1 species